rnacentral:pre_miRNA from 1 species
UACAUGCCUUUCUGACAAACUUCAGCUGAAAGAAAUUACAGGAGGUGAAACUUGACUCCUCAGAUUGGAGCUUCCGUCCAUCUGGGUAUUUUCUUAACUAGAUAUGCCUCCUCCUAUCCCUUUAUUUGUCUCUUAGCAUGAUCUUCGAAGUCCGUAAGAGAAGCCGCAC